GAUGAACGCUAGCGGCAGGCUUAAUACAUGCAAGUCGUGGGGCAGCAUGAAGUAGCAAUACUUUGAUGGCGACCGGCAAACGGGUGCGGAACACGUACACAACCUUCCUUUUAGUGGGGAAUAGCCCAGAGAAAUUCGGAUUAAUACCCCGUAACAUAGCGAUGUGGCAUCACCUUGCGAUUAUAGCUUCGGCGCGAGAGGCUGGGUGUGCGUAUGAUUAGAUAGUUGGCGAGGUAACGGCUCACCAAGUCUACGAUCAUUAGCUGAUGUGAGAGCAUGAUCAGCCACACGGGCACUGAGACACGGGCCCGACUACUACGGGAGGCAGCAGUAAGGAAUAUUGGUCAAUGGACGAAAGUCUGAACCAGCCAUGCCGCGUGAAGGAUUAGGGUCCUCUGGAUUGUAAACUUCUUUUAUAUGGGACGAAAAAAGGUCUUUCUAGAUCACUUGACGGUACCAUAUGAAUAAGCACCGGCUAACUCCGUGCCAGCAGCCGCGGUAACAC
rnacentral:rRNA from 1 species